UGUAUUUAGCUGAACAGCUGAGCAUUCCUCGGUGAUGGAGCGACCUCUGAUGGAGCUCGAGCUUCUGAAUCACAGCGCGUUCAGGGCGGAUCUUGACAGCUCGAGGCGCUGCCGACAAACUUCACCCCGGGGCAAAAACCUGAGCGACACACGGACAAGAGAGGACAGACAAAAUAAAAAAGUCGUCUCAGUGCACAAGACAGUCGAUAGAGUGAGCAGAACAAGACAGGGCAACCUUGAGCGGGUGUAAAGGACAGUUUGAAGAAGGACACAGGCUCCAGUGUGAGUGCGGCUCUGCUUUCGCCCAAUGCACCAAUGCAGAGAUCAUCUAUCAGUUGCUGUCACAUGAGGACGUGUGUCUGUCUGUUCUGCACCCAUUCGCUGAUCCAGCAUCAGUCCGCUGAAGGCCUCAAGCAUCCAUCACCCUGAACCCCAGCAGGCCUGUCACGCUGUCUCACUCCUCUGAUUCUGCCUCUUCUCCUCCUGCGUGCCUCUCUCAGCCCUCCCUGGAGACCCCAGGGCCUCUCAUCCGCAAUGGAGAGCAGGGAGAGGCAUGCGGGACCCUCGCCCAGGAGAUCUGCCUCACUCCUGGGAACCUGAGGGAGGAUCCUCUGCCGGCACGGGGCUUCCAUGAUGUCUCUACUCUCACAGAACAGAGAGCAGACAAAGGCAGGAAAGCUGGAACAAACCAUGCUAUCUAAGGAAGUACCUAUAUGUGUGCUGCUUUCUAAUUAUACUCCAUCCUAAAAGCUCAGAGUGUGUGCUGUAGAUUUAUUAAUAGCAUUAAACUCUCAAAUAUGAUUUUUAAAUCAUUCUUUCGCAGCUACCAGUAAUCUAAACCUAACCGUUUUAAUUAAUAACUGACUGACUAAUAACAUAACUCGAAAGACGUAUCAUCGUAGCUGCUGCUGAAUUAAUGUUCACACUGUGAGAUUUGAAUUUUUCAGUCAGGCCACAGAGACAUUGUAUGUGUAUUUUUUAUUACAUCAAUGAAUGUGAGCUUCUAAAUGAUG